CACAUUCAGACUAUCAUUUAACAAUCAAUAUUAUUUGAUAAAUGUUAACCAAUGGGUGCUAGUUCAUCUUGUCAGUUUUGUUUAAGUUUUAAACAGGUCCUUGUAAUGGUUUAUGUUGGAAUAAAAAUCAGGCCAAUAUCUCAAAAUGUCUCUCUGAUGUUAGAAACUUCAAACAUUUACGUUUGAGAGUAUAUUUUCCUCUAAAGAAACAAAAACUGUCUUCUCAAUAACUUGUUUGACUAUAUAUGGAAUUGAGGUAGAUUCUAUUCCUAUAGGAAGUAGAUUAUCUAAGACAUGAGAACAGACUCAUUAAUAUUAGACAAAUGUUGAGAGGGAUAGUCCAGGAUAAAUGUUCAAAAUUUGCCUGUCAAGUGGUCACACCUGGUCGUGCAUUGUUUGAGACUCUUUAUAGAUUUGAAUUCUGAGUUCAAUUGCAAACCAAACCAUUACAUAGAAAAUCAACUGCUAAGGAACAUGUGGAAUUAAGGCAAUGUAGCCUUUUAAUAUGGAUCAUUUUUGUGGCAAGUCAAUAUUUCAUCAGUAUUAGUGGUGUUCUUUACAGAAGCUACAUUUAUAAGUAGAUAGAUGCAUCUGGUGCUUUGGGUUAAGAAACUGUAUAAAGUUUAAAAUGGUCUGCUAAAUCUUAGUUAGAUAUUCAUAUAGAUUGUCAAAUUUAUCUUAAAGUUCUUCCAAUCAUUUUGCUAGUAGACAUUUGGGUCCCAUAUUUCAGCUAUCAAAAUUUGCCUUUUAGCUGAUAAUACAGCAGUUAUACCUUCAAAACUCAUAGUUUACUGUUUUAUCUUCCAUCUACAGAAAGAAUUAUUUGCAAUUUUUAAUUUUAUGAACCAAAUACUCCUCUAUGGUAGGAAAGUUGUCAAAAGAGCCCAGAGCUUCCAAUCACAAAACCCAUCUUAAUGAAUUAGUAUCUGACUUAUUUCACUCUUUUCAAGAAGCAGAUACAAGAACCAACUAUCAGCAGUCUUCCUUCUUGCCUUGAACAUUUUUAUGCACUUAGGCAAACUCGUUCCUAUAAACAACACAUACAACUCGAAGUAAUUCAAAGACAAGCCAUAAUCUUUCUUGAUGAUAAUUCACUUUAGAUAACAAUGAGAUAUUCCAAACUAUGAAUGAUAGGCAUCCAGUGAUACUUACUUUAACAGCCAAUGACUUAAAAUGUCAAUUUUGUCCAGUUCAUGCCUUAAAAGUAUACAUUACUUAACAUAAACACACAUCUAAUCCUUUAUUCACCUUCAAAUCUGAUGAACCAGUUAAGUAUAGUUUUGUGGGAUUCCAAUCAAAACAUGCAAUAUAAGUUUUCAACUGAUUGCUUUACUUUGGUCAUAGUUUUUGUGUUUGUACUGCAAGUUUUGUACUGCUAGUGGCAGCUUAGAAUGGUUUAUCUGAAAUUGUAAUCCAACAACUCGGUCGUUGGCACUCAAAAGACGUUACAGUAAAAUAAAUGCAGUCAGGUUUUAAAUUCCACAAUUGAUGUUAAGAAUUCUAAACUAAAUGUUUCCCUUAUACAUGUACUGUCAUUGACUAUGAUAAGAGAGAAGUGAGCAUAUGGUUGUUUCUCUCCAGAAUUUAAUUAGGAUCUGAUAAACUUUUUACAUCCAAUUUCAGUGAUUUAACAUAUAAAUCAGUUCCAAACUAAAUGUUCCCCUUAAACAUGUACUGCCAUCGAUUAUUGAAAGAGAGAAGUCAGCAUAUGGUUGUUUUUCUUCAGAAUUGAAAUAGGAUCUGAUAAACUUUUUACAUCCAUUUCAGUGAUUAAACGUAUAAAUCAAUUCCAAACUAAAUGUUUCCCCUUAUACAUGUACUGCCAUCGACUAUCCAAAGAGAGAAGUCAGCAUUUAGCUGCUUAAAUAAAAUAGUACUUUGGUCAGUGAUCUUGCAAAGUGUUCGCUUUGAAAAUUAAGUGCUAGUUAGAUGCACAUUUUACUCUUCAUAUUGGCCUUAAAUUUGCGAGCUAAUAUACUUGAGGACAGCACCCAGAUGCUCAUAAAAUUUAUGUAUGUUAGUUGGAAUUCAGCUUUAAAUUUGGUCUUGAGAAUUGUGUAUCAGGUCAGCAUAUGUCUGUUUACAAAAUUGUAUCAUGUCAUGAGCUUAGAAGUUCAAAAAUUUGUGUAUCAGGUCAGCGAACAGCUGCUUAUAAAAACUGUAUGUUAGUUGGAACUCAGCAGGAUUUUGCUCUGAAUUUUGUGCAUAAGUUCAGCAUGUGGAUGUUCAUAAAAUAUUAAUUGUAAAAAUGAGCUCAUGUUGUUUCUGAGGUAGCAUAUGGUCUCUUUUUUAGUCUCGUUAACCUUAUGUUAUUCACAGGUUUAGUAACCUUUGUCCUUUAUAUUUUGUUACUUAUUCAGAUAUAACUUUGUGCUUAUGUGGGUUAUUAAUGUUUAUGCUUAUUUAGUCCAUACGGUUACAUGAUAUUCAGUUCACAAUGUUAUUAUCUGUUAAAGAACACAUGUUUGCUACAUUUAAUAUUGAGCAGUAUAUAAUUUAUGAAAUGCCUUUCCUUGGGUGGCGCUGCAUGCUUCAUGCAAGCAUUUUGCAUGCUGUUUGGCCUCUUUGUUUACGUCACCUUCUUGUUACACAAACUUGGUAAUCAUUAUAUAACAAUAGCUGGGAUAAGCACUAAGUCGCAAUAUAUCAUAUCUUAGUUGAAACUAAUCAUUAUUUGGCCUUAUCCCAGCUAUAAUUUACAUGAUUGUAUGUAAUAUUGUAUAUUUAUGUGUUUUUGUUCACUUUCGUCAUUUAUUUGGUCAAUAAAUGACAUUUUCACUCAA